rnacentral:rRNA from 1 species
UACGGGGGGAGCAAGCGUUGUUCGGAUUUACUGGGCGUAAAGGGCGCGUAGGCGGUCAGCACAAGUCAGUUGUGAAAUCUCCGGGCUUAACUCGGAAAGGUCAACUGAUACUGUGCGACUAGAGUGCAGAAGGGGCAACUGGAAUUCUCGGUGUAGCGGUGAAAUGCGUAGAUAUCGAGAGGAACACCGGUGGCGAAGGCGG